rnacentral:rRNA from 1 species
UACGUAGGGCGCAAGCGUUAUCCGGAAUUAUUGGGCGUAAAGAGCUCGUAGGCGGUUUGUCGCGUCUGCCGUGAAAGUCCGGGGCUCAACUCCGGAUCUGCGGUGGGUACGGGCAGACUAGAGUGAUGUAGGGGAGACUGGAAUUCCUGGUGUAGCGGUGAAAUGCGCAGAUAUCAGGAGGAACACCGAUGGCGAAGGCAGGUCUCUGGGCAUUAACUGACGCUGAGGAGCGAAAGCGUGGGGAGCGAACAGC